rnacentral:other from 1 species
UGCUUCCUGGUUUAUUCGAUAGCUGGUGAGACCCUCGAGCCGAUAUUGAAUAAAUAGGAGAUUUUGAAAAGUCUUGUUGCGCAUACCCUCCUUGGGGAGCCUGAGAGACUGACGAAAUCACCGCCUUGAACCUCACGGUUCAGGGCUGCAUCAGUAACGGUAUUCCGGGAAGCUC